GAGUGAAGAGGGACAAGCUCAAAUUUUAAAUCUAUCGGGUUUUACCCGAUCGAGUUGUAAUUUGAAGAAGCGUUUUCUGCGUUUUUGGUCAGCCCAAGUCCUAUUGAAUGAGGCAUCAUGGAGGGUGAUAAUCCCGUCCGGUUGAUCAUUUGCGUUUUACGAUACGCUUUCUAAGAGUCAAGUUGUUUGGGAUUGCAGCUUAAAAUGGGAGGUAAAUUUCUCCUAAGGCUAAAUAACGGCGAGAGACCGAUAGCGAACAAGUACCGUGAGGGAAAGAUGAAAAGAACUUUGAAAAGAGAGUUAAACAGUACGUGAAAUUGUUGAAAGGGAAACGAUUGAAGCCAGUCGUACCUUCGGGUAAUCAGCCUUUCGGGUGCGAUUCUGUGGAGUGUGAGGAGCUUAACACCUUCAUGCUUUGCAUAUUUGUGCUCUUGGGUGUACUUGCCCGUGUGGUUGGUUAACAUCAAUUUUGGUUAUCAUAAAAUGGUUGGAGGAAUGUAGCUUCGAUCUCGUAUUGAAGUGUUAUAGCCUUCGGUAGAUGUGAUGAUCGAGAUUGAGGAUUGCAACGGAUACCCUUCGGGGCUACCUGUCUGGUCUCUGAUCGUUGCUCUGGUGCCGAAAGCUUGCUUACGGUUAUCAAAGUCGAUGGUCAAUAGGUUAGAACGGGUUAAAUUCGUUA
rnacentral:rRNA from 1 species